GAUAAAGAUAACCUCUUCAGGAUCCUAGAGAAGAAAAGAGACAUGGAUGAGAUUACACCCCAGGGAAGAACAGGACAAGCAGCCAACUUAGAGGAGGAGCCCUUGGCAGAGGAGUCCUAAGGCUGAAACCAGAGCUCUCAGUAUCAUAGUGUUUUGGCACCUCUUUCUCUAACAUCAAGCUGUGGCAGGAGAUUUUUCCUAGGGACAGAACACAACCGAUUCCAGUAGAGACAACUAGGCUCUAGGUGACACGCCACGGACCUCUCACAGUGCGUCUUAAAUGUCAACCUUUGUUUAGAGCUGUGACUAAAAUGAACUUAGAGCCAUUAUUCAUUAUACUUAUUAGGGGUGUGUAACCCUAAAUUGAACCAGGAGUCUGUUUAGAAAGUUAUGGGUUAAGCACUUCCUGAUCUUCAGUUGCAGUAAGAGAAAAAAGUAGAGUUAGUUUAAUUACUGGUAUCAGGUGGUAUAAUUAGAACUGUAAAAAAAUACUAGAUUUUUAUUUAAUUGCUGGUCAAACCAAAAUUAAAUUCCAAAAUGUUUUGUUCUGCAUGCUUGUGUCCAAGUUCAAUAAGUGUAAGCAUAUUUUAAAAUA